rnacentral:rRNA from 1 species
UACGAAGGGGGCUAGCGUUGUUCGGAAUUACUGGGCGUAAAGGGUGCGUAGGUGGCUUUGCAAGUCAGGAGUGAAAUCCCUAGGCUCAACCUAGGAAUUGCUUUUGAGACUGCAGAGAUCGAGUACAGGAGAGGUGAGUGGAAUUCCCAGUGUAGAGGUAAAAUUCGUAGAUAUUGGGAGGAACACCAGUGGCGAAGGCGGCUCACUGGCCUGUAACUGACACUGAGGCACGAAAGCGUGGGGAGCAAACAGG